GUUCUGUGAUGAUCAACCCCAUGCGUGUCAUCUGAGCCCCCAAACCCCGUUUCCCUCCCAGCCGGCGUUCUGCCGUGCUGGAGAAAGGCUGCUGGGUGCCAGGCACAGUGAUCACAACUGAGAAGUCGCCUGAGAAC